rnacentral:rRNA from 1 species
GUGCCAGCCGCCGCGGUAAUACGAAGGGUGCAAGCGUUACUCGGAAUUACUGGGCGUAAGGCGUGCGUAGGUGGUUUGUUAAGUCUGCUGUGAAAGCCCCGGGCUCAACCUGGGAAUGGCAUUCGGGACUGCAAGGCUGGAGUGCGGCAGAGGAGACUGGAAUUCCUGGUGUAGCAGUGAAAUGCGUAGACAUCAGGAGGAAUACCGGUGGUGCAGACGGCUCUCUGGACCGCGACUGACGCUGAGGCACGAAAGCGUGGGGAUCAAACAGGAUUAGAUACCCUGGUAGUCC